ACACAUGCAAGUCGAACGGAGCUAUUAGACGGAAGCCUUCGGGCGGAAGAUUAAUAGCUUAGUGGCGGACGGGUGAGUAACGCGUGAGUAACCUGCCUCUCAGAGGGGGAUAACGUUCUGAAAAGAACGCUAAUACCGCAUAUAAUCAAGAAACCGCAUGAUUUUUUGAUGAAAGGAGCAAUCCGCUGAGAGAUGGACUCGCGUCUGAUUAGCUAGAUGGUGGGGUAACGGCCUACCAUGGCGACGAUCAGUAGCCGGACUGAGAGGUUGAACGGCCACAUUGGGACUGAGACACGGCCCAGACUCCUACGGGAGGCAGCAGUGGGGGAUAUUGCGCAAUGGGGGAAACCCUGACGCAGCAAUGCCGCGUGAAGGAAGAAGGUUUUCGGAUUGUAAACUUCUUUUGUUAAGGACGAAGAAUGACGGUACUUAACGAAUAAGCUCCGGCUAACUAUGUGCCAGCAGCCGCGGUAAUACAUAGGGAGCAAGCGUUAUCCGGAUUUACUGGGUGUAAAGGGUGCGUAGGCGGCUAAGCAAGUCAGAUGUGAAAUACACGGGCUCAACCCGUGAGCUGCAUUUGAAACUGUUUAGCUUGAGUGAAGUAGAGGCAGGCGGAAUUCCCGGUGUAGCGGUGAAAUGCGUAGAGAUCGGGAGGAACACCAGUGGCGAAGGCGGCCUGCUGGGCUUUAACUGACGCUGAGGCACGAAAGCGUGGGUAGCAAACAGGAUUAGAUACCCUGGUAGUCCACGCUGUAAACGAUGAUUACUAGGUGUGGGUGGACUGACCCCAUCCGUGCCGCAGUUAACACAAUAAGUAAUCCACCUGGGG
rnacentral:rRNA from 1 species